rnacentral:lncRNA from 1 species
UUAGAUUGAGCUCUAAUGAAAGUGCUUUCUAAGAACAUUUUCCAAAAGUGAAGCACCUGAGGAGAGCAACCAGCAGAGUCAGACCAUCUCAGAGGUCUUGCAUUUCAAGGAGUGAUUGUGACUUAGUCAAUAAAUUCACUUGGAGAGAGACAUGCAGCAAAUAAUUGAAUGAAAAAAAGUUUUGAAAAUUCAAAAAAUCAAUGAAAAGGAAUCUUAGGCAGGAAGAUCUUCCAAAAAAAAAAGAA